rnacentral:rRNA from 1 species
CUUGUCCACUCCAGGGGGACAACAGUUGGAAACAGCUGCUAAUACCCCAUAAGCCUAAGGGUUAAAGGAGCAAUCCGGGAGAGGAGAGACUCGCGUCCUAUCAGCUAGUAGGUGAGAUAAUGGCUCACCUAGGCUAAGACGGGUAACCGGACUGAGAGGUCGAACGGUCACACUGGAACUGAGACACGGUCCAGACUCCUACGGGAGGCAGCAGUGGGGAAUCUUGGGCAAUGGGGGCAACCCUGACCCAGCGACGCCGCGUGGGUGAAGAAAUUCUUCGGAAUGUAAAGCCCUGUUGUAUGGGAAGAUAAUGACGGUACCAUACCAGAAAGCCCCGGCAAACUACGUGCCAGCAGCCGCGGUAAUACGUAGGGGGCAAGCGUCGUCCGGAAUUACUGGGCGUAAAGCGCACGCAGGCGGAAUUGUAAGUCCGUUGUAAAAUGCAAAGGCUCAACCUUUGUUUGUCGACGGAUACUGCAAAUCUAGAGUAUGUGAGAGGGAAGUGGAAUUCCAGGUGUAGCGGUGAAAUGCGUAGAUAUCUGGAGGAACACCAGUGGCGACGGCGACUUCCUG